UACGUAGGUGGCAAGCGUUGUCCGGAUUUACUGGGCGUAAAGAGCGCGCAGGCGGUCGUGCAAGUCGCGUGUGAAAGCCCCCGGCUCAACUGGGGAGGGUCACGCGAUACUGCUCGACUCGAAGGCAGGAGAGGGUAGUGGAAUUCCCGGUGUAGUGGUGAAAUGCGUAGAUAUCGGGAGGAACACCAGUGGCGAAGGCGGCAUCCUGGACCAACACUGACGCUGAGUGAGCGAAAGCCAGGGGAGCAAACGGG
rnacentral:rRNA from 1 species